UACGGAGGGUGCAAGCGUUGUUCGGAAUCAUUGGGCGUAAAGCGCGUGUAGGCGGCUUGGCAAGUCAGUUGUGAAAGCCCGGGGCCCAACCCCGGAACUGCAUCUGAAACUGCCUGGCUAGAGUCCCGGAGAGGAAGGCAGAAUUCCCGGUGUAGGGGUGAAAUGCGCAGAUAUCAGGAGGAACACCGGUGGCGAAGGCGGGUCUCUGGGCCGAUACUGACGCUGAGGAGCGAAAGCGUGGGGAGCGAACAGG
rnacentral:rRNA from 1 species